GGGCAUGUAGCUCAAUGGUAGAGCGCUUAACUUAUAAUUAAGUGGUUCUGGGUUCGAAUCCCAGCAUGCCCACCA
rnacentral:tRNA from 1 species